rnacentral:rRNA from 1 species
AGCCCACGUUAAAAUCACCCUUCAGCGGGCGAUAAACAUUGUGACUCCUGUCUCUCCUGUCUUCGGUUGGGGCGACCGCGGAGGAUAAAAGAGCCUCCAUGUGGACCGAGGUUACUAACCUCACAACUAAGAGCUGCAGCUCCAAGCAACAGAAAUUCUGACCAAAAUGAUCCGGCACAUGCCGAUUAACGGAACA